AGGGAGUAAGUCCUCCUGUAUUUCUAGUCUUCUUGGGUAUGGUAUACAAUUUUGAUGCCAUAGGGGGCGUUCCUGAGUUUCAUACUUUCAUACCGGUUCAAUACUUGCAUACCGGUAUGAAAGUAUUAAACCCAAAAAUCGACCAUUUACCCAACACUGGACACCCCAUUUUUGUGAAAGAAAGCAACUAGUGAGAAAGAAAGUAUGAGAGAGAAAACAAACGCAGUGUUAUUAUACCAACAUAAUAACAAAAAUCUGGACUUUUUAAUGAAAAACGCAAUGUUGAAAAAUUCAAUCUGUUUGUGAAGAAAAAAAAAUAUACGCACUAUGAAUUUGAUUUUUUUUUAAAAAAAAAGCUUGAUAUCAAAUCAUCGAAUGAGUACAACAAGAAUAUGCAGUUACUCCAGCUGCAACUGAAACACAAAAACCAGCUGCCACUUCAGCAACUGUAUAUCGAAGCUGCUGCGACUUCUGAUGAGUGUUGCCACAUCAACCACUUGGUUUGCUGCAAACCUUCGAACAGAAACACCAACAUCAACGUCCAGCGCCAGCAUCAACAUAUGAUGCAACUAGACAUAUUAACAACAAGCAGCACAACCAGUAACGUAUGCAUCAACUGAAAACACUUCAUGCCUAAAGGACAAACACAUAUCGUGGUGCACCAAGUGAAGCAACAAUUCAACAAGCUCAAAUAUAUUAAGCAUUGUUAAGCAUCUAGCACUAGUUAUGUACAAUCAAAUGCAGCACAAGAUAUAUGAAACAUUUUUCUGCCUCUACUACACUACCAACUGCUGUAAAUAUAAACUAGCAAGCCCUGGUGGAAAAAAUAUCCCGCCAAAUAUCCCGGCAUAUCCCGUAAUUGACCUAUUGGCGGGUCAUGUAUCCCGCCAAUAUCCCGCCACAAUUUAUU